GAAUAAUCAACACACAUGAUAUGAUAUAACAUGUUGCGUUUAAAAUGGUUUUAAAAAAGACGAAAACAUGUAGGACUCUCGUUGUUAAAAAUAUUUACAUUGAUUAUUUCUGCAUAGCUUUGAAUAGCUGUACAGCUGUCAUUAUCUCUUCAUUCUUUGAUCAAUUUACAUCGUUUGUAAUCCUUUUGAAGUUUAAAUGUCUGUUUCAGCAAGGAGCUUCAACGUAUUGAAGAAAAUGAGCAUGUCAUAGGGAAAUAAUUAUUGGUAUGCGUUCGCUACACUAGAUAGCAAAUUUGUGAUUUAAAUCUUGCCUAAAACUAUUUCAAGUAGAAAAUGUUUUAGUUACUGUUUCUUCUAUGCAUUGUCGUGAAUAGUUUUCAAGUAAACGAAGCAAGUAGAUGUCCAUCUGGUUGGACUUAUCUUCUUCAAUCUUGUUACUACUUCAGUACAACCAAGACAACAGGAAGCAAAGCCAUUCUUGAAUGUCAACGCAUGGGAGGAUAUCUUGCUCUUCCAAAGAACUUGGUUGAGAAUAACGCCAUCACAGUGUUGCCAAAAGAAAAAAUCUGUAUAAAUCAUUUAUUGGUUUGUUUCGUAAUAAAUACGACAAGCAAUUUUAUACAAUGCAACAUGCCCUGCCUGCGUUUAUCAAUUGGUCUCCCAAAGAACCUAAUAAUGUUGGAAACAAAGAGAAUUGCGUCCAAUUUUUUCCGAAAGGAAAAUGGAAUGAUGAGUCAUGCUAUCGUUCUUACCACUACAUUUGUCAACGUAAUCCAUGCGAUUUUUAAAAUUCUCUUGUACUUGUGAAUGAUUUAAUUUCUUCGUCUACGAAGAAAGAACAGGAAAGGACAGUUUGAUGAUGGACGUUGUUUUAGAGGAUACUUUACUUAUGAUAUUUUAUUAAGCAAGCACUGUAUAGAUCUCACUAGUUUACACAUUGUAAAGAUUUUCAUUCGAGCCAGGCAAAAAUAGCACAUUAAAAUUACAUUUGUUGUUGCA